GGGGCCGUAGUCUAGCCUGGCUAGGAUGCCGGCCUGGGGGGACACCCCGCUAGCCAGGCCUGGUGUCACAGAGCGCCGGUGAUCCCGGGUUCAAAUCCCGGCGGCCCCA
rnacentral:tRNA from 1 species